rnacentral:rRNA from 1 species
AGCGAACGCUGGCGGCAGGCUUAACACAUGCAAGUCGAGCGGGCAUAGCAAUAUGUCAGCGGCAGACGGGUGAGUAACGCGUGGGAACGUACCUUUUGGUUCGGAACAACACAGGGAAACUUGUGCUAAUACCGGAUAAGCCCUUACGGGGAAAGAUUUAUCGCCGAAAGAUCGGCCCGCGUCUGAUUAGCUAGUUGGUGAGGUAAUGGCUCACCAAGGCGACGAUCAGUAGCUGGUCUGAGAGGAUGAUCAGCCACAUUAGGACUGAGACACGGCCCAAACUCCUACGGGAGGCAGCAGUGGGGAAUAUUGGACAAUGGGGGAAACCCUGAUCCAGCAAUGCCGCGUGAGUGAUGAAGGCCUUAGGGUUGUAAAGCUCUUUUACCCGGGAUGAUAAUGACAGUACCGGGAGAAUAAGCUCCGGCUAACUCCGUGCCAGCCGCCGCGGUAA